rnacentral:rRNA from 1 species
UACGUAGGGAGCGAGCGUUGUCCGGAUUUAUUGGGCGUAAAGAGCGCGUAGGCGGCUAGGUAAGUCGGGUGUAAAAUCUCCAAGCUCAACUUGGAGUGGCCACUCGAAACUGCCUUGGCUAGAGUCUGGUAGGGGAACACGGAAUUCCUGGUGUAGCGGUGAAAUGCUUAGAUAUCAGGAGGAACACCAGUGGCGAAGGCGGUGUUCUGGGCCAGUACUGACGCUGAGGCGCGAAAGCGUGGGGAGCGAACAGG